rnacentral:rRNA from 1 species
UGAACCUGCGGAAGGAUCAUUACCGAGUUGAUUCGAGCUCCGGCUCGACUCUCCCACCCAAUGUGUACCUACCUCUGUUGCUUUGGCGGGCCGCGGUCCUCCGCACCGGCGCCCUUCGGGGGGCUGGCCAGCGCCCGCCAGAGGACCAUAAAACUCCAGUCAGUGAACUUCGCAGUCUGAAAAACAAGUUAAUAAACUAAAACUUUCAACAACGGAUCUCUUGGUUCUGGCAUCGAUGAAGAACGCAGCGAAAUGCGAUAAGUAAUGUGAAUUGCAGAAUUCAGUGAAUCAUCGAAUCUUUGAACGCACAUUGCGCCCCUUGGUAUUCCGAGGGGCAUGCCUGUUCGAGCGUCAUUUCAACCCUCAAGCUCUGCUUGGUAUUGGGCCUCGUCCUCCACGGACGCGCCUUAAAGACCUCGGCGGUGGCGUCUUGCCUCAAGCGUAGUAGAAAACACCUCGCUUUGGAGCGCACGGCGUCGCCCGCCGGACGAACCUUUGAAUUAUUUCUCAAGGUUGACCUCGGAUCAGGUAGGGAUACCCGCUGAACUUAAGCAUAUCAAUAAGCG